AUGAUUGUUCUUAAGUUGGACUUCAGGAAAGCAUUUGGCAGUGUAAGUUGGGAGGGUUUGUUUGCCAUUUUGACAGCCAGAGGUUUUGGACAGAGGUGGAUCAGCUGGAUCAAAGAGUUGUUGCACAGUAGCGCCUCAAGGGUUUUAGUCAAUGGUUCAUUGGGAGACCCAAUCCAAUCAAAGAGUGGAUUACGUCAGGGGGAUUCUUUAUCACCAUAUUUGUUUAUUUUGGUGGCUGAUCUUCUGCAAAGGUUGUGUUGUGCUGAAUAUGAGCAGGGAAACCUCACCCACCCUCUGAACGUUGAUUCUUUCCUCCCAGUGCUGCAAUACGCCGAUGAUACACGGCUGCUCAUUAAGGGUGACAUAGAACGGGCCAGGGUCAUCAAGAGGGUUUUGCGUACCUUCUCGGACUUUACAGGGCUGCAGAUCAAUUUCCACAAAAGCACCUUCAUCCCAGUCUCCAUGGAUAGAGCUGUUUGCCAGGAAAUUGCUGAGCUCCUUGAUUGCACUAUCUCAGACUUCCCUUGCACAUACCUGGGUUUGCCUCUCUCUACCCAUAAAGUUUCUCACUCCAUGCUCGCUCCAGUCAUUCAUCGCGUGGACAAGAGACUCUCUGGUUGGAUGGUCACGCUACUCUCCUGGGGAGGCAAGCUCACUCUACUAAACUCAGUCUUAGCAGCAAUCCCCAAUUACUUCAUGUCUUGUUUCAUUUGGCCUAAGGAAACACUGGAUCAGCUAGAAAGGAUUUUGAGAGGUUUUUUAUGGCAUGGCUCUCACUCGGCUAAGGGAGGACACUGCUUGGUAGCUUGGGAUACUGUCUCCUAA
rnacentral:rRNA from 1 species